UACGAAGGGGGCUAGCGUUGCUCGGAAUCACUGGGCGUAAAGCGCACGUAGGCGGCUUUCUAAGUCAGGGGUGAAAUCCUGGAGCUCAACUCCAGAACUGCCUUUGAUACUGGAGAGCUAGAGUCCGGAAGAGGUGAGUGGAACUGUGAGUGUAGAGGUGAAAUUCGUAGAUAUUCGCAAGAACACCAGUGGCGAAGGCGGCUCACUGGUCCGGUACUGACGCUGAGGUGCGAAAGCGUGGGGAGCAAACAGG
rnacentral:rRNA from 1 species